ACAAUCUCGAAGCGUGGGAAGAUAAAUAUGGCUCACUAGAGUGUUGGGCCCGUUCUUCCUGAGUCGGACUCGGCCGAGGUAUCGACAUGGGUUCGGCUUGGGGUUCUUUAUGGCGCGAAGGAAACAAGGACGAGUCGGACCUGGUUAGAAAACGCUGCUGUGAUAAGGUCAGUUUGCGUGGGAUUUAGCUUCAUGAAUCCUGGCUAUAUGCCACUUGGCAGUUGGCACCUGUUGCUUACGGCACGAUCAAGAUCCCCUCCAAUGAAUUCUGGCUGAUUUUUACAUCCAACGGCCAAAAAAAUGUUGUCUGAACAACCAUAGACAAGCUCUUCGAAUUGAAUUUCAGGCUCAUUUUCAAGGAUUUGGAUCCACUACAAUUUUUAUAAAAUUGUAGUUUCUAAAAUUAUGUGAAUUCAUGCCGUACAUUACAUCGAAUUGCUUGAAAAAAUUAUGACAUGUUAUUAAUAGGAAUUAAAUAUAUUUUUAUCAUGUUCUUACAAUUUAUAUUGUAAAAAAGCCUUAAACUAAAAGCUGUCUUUUUUAUUUUAUAUAAAAAAUAAUAAUUUCUCUUUAAAAGUGAAAAAAAAAAAUGCUUUUUAGAAAGAAAUUUUUUUUACCUGCUUCGGCAAUAUGUCACAUUUUUAAUAAGUAAUAUUUUUCAAGUCGUUUGGUAUAAGAAACAACCUAAAUUCACAUAAUUUUAGAAUUUACAAUUUCUUUAAAAUUGAAAGGAAUGAUAAUCCAAGAAAAUGACCAUAAAAUUCAAUUCAAAGAGCUUGUCUCUAAUUAUUCUGUAAAUUAUUUUUUUGAUACUUGUGGUGUAACGUGAAACCAAGUAGACGUUUUAGUUUUAAAAAAUAUUGCAUAUGGUAAUUGUGAACAUCUCAUAAACAUAGCUAAUCCUUUUAUCCAUUAAUUAAACUGUGUGUCAUGUCAAACCAAUUAGCGACUGAUGUCAUGUAUUCCAUAUGCCACAUAACAUUAUUUACAAAUAAAAAUAAUAAUAAUAAUUUAGGGGACAUUUUUUUACUACCCCAAUGACCAUGAUGUCGGUUCUGUCACUCCCUAGUUGGCUAUAGUGAUAAUUUUUCUUCUUUUUAAUUUUUAAAUAAUAUUAAUAAGACAUAAGACACGUCACAAUUAUUUAUUGAUUUAACGUUACAAACUAUUAGAUUAUUAAACAAAGAGUGAUGAUUCAGAACAUCCUGGGAUGUUGCUACAGUGCAACAUCCCAGGACACAUGAACAGUGAAAUCACUGUUCAUGUGGGGGGCCACAUGAACAGUGAUUUCACUGUUCAUGUGUCCUACAUGAACAGUGAUUUCACUGUUCAUGUGUCCUGGGAUGUUGCACUGAAUCAUCACUC
rnacentral:precursor_RNA from 1 species